AUUGAACGCUGGCGGCAUGCCUUACACAUGCAAGUCGAACGGCAGCACGGGUGCUUGCACCUGGUGGCGAGUGGCGAACGGGUGAGUAAUACAUCGGCACGUACCUUAUCGUGGGGGAUAACGCAGCGAAAGCUGUGCUAAUACCGCAUACGCCCUGAGGGGGAAAGCGGGGGAUCGCAAGACCUCGCGCGAUUAGGGCGGCCGAUGCCUGAUUAGCUAGUUGGUGGGGUAAAAGCCCACCAAGGCGACGAUCAGUAGCUGGUCUGAGAGGCCGAUCAGCAACACUGGGACUGAGACACGGCCCAGACCCCUACGGGAGGCAGCAGUGGGGAAUUUUGGACAAUGGGGGCAACCCUGAUCCAGCAAUGCCGCGUGAGUGAAGAAGGCCUUCGGGUUGUAAAGCUCUUUUGUCAGGGAAGAAACACCGGCUCUAACACAGUCCGGGAAUGACGGUACCUGAAGAAUAGGCACCGGCUAACUACGUGCCAGCCGCCGCCGUAA
rnacentral:rRNA from 1 species